AUGACAAUGGAGGCCUUCGUCGUUGACGGAGGAAAUGAUGGGACAGUUGCCCGUUGGGGUUUGCGGCCUGUCACAGGUGAUCGGUCGUGGGGGUCGUACAUGAGGUUUGCAAGCAAUCCCAAUAACUCAAUGUAUGGUCAGCCGAUGGUGUAUGUGGAGUUCAUUUCAGUCACUGAUGUUGCCGGAUGCAGUAGCAGGGGUGGUGAGGUCGAGUUGGCCAUCACAUCAGCCCCUAGCAUCGGCCCAUCGGAACCGACGGGCGGCCAGCCUGUGUAUGACACAGGAUAUUGGUCGGCGGCCGUUGACAUGAGCGAACACGUGGAGGGAUUGCCGGAGGCGCUAGAUGAUGAUGAUCAUUCUUCUGCGUCUUCGGAGUCAAGCGGAGAAGAAGAUGUUCCUCCUCAGAGGGCGGUCGCGGCGGCACUGCAACCUGGGUUUUUACAGGAUAUGAGCAUCACCAACGAAUUUCACUCUGCUUCUGGCCUAGGAGCGGGAAGCCUGGAGGUUGGGCAAGUUUUCCCAGAUAAGAAGUCUGCUUACCAGGCAAUGGGUAGCUAUGCAAUCGGCAUCCACCGCCAGCAUAGAGUGAAGCAGUCUGAUAAAAAAGAGUUGAAGGUCAUAUGCAUCCACACCGCGAAAGGUUGCCGCGGAAGAGUUCUUGCUAGACUGAAGCCUGGGGUAUGUCAGUCAUGGCAUAUCACAAAAAUAGUGGAGCAUACCUGUGAGCAAACUGGGACUCUUUCAGAUCACUGCAAUGUGACAGCAAAAUUUGUGGCACAGACGAUGGAAACAAUUGUGCAGGGAAGUCUCAACAUUAGUGUUAGGGCUCUGCAAAAAGAUGCAGAGGAUCUAAUUGGAUUCCCUGUUAGCUACAGCAAGGCUAGGCAUGCGAAGGAAAAUAUAUUUAAGAACUUGUAUGGUACCUAUGAGGAGGCAUAUUCUUAUGCCCCUAGAAUGCUUCAUCAAAUAGAAAGUGCUAAUAGGGGGACUCAAGUUUGGCGGAGAGAACGUCCAAACCCAAUGAACCCGGGUGAGCUAAUCCUGGACCGCUUAUUCUGGGCAUUCGCCCAGACUAUACAAGCCUUCAGGCACUGUCGCCCGGUAUUAUCUGUUGAUGGUACCUUUCUCACUGGAAAGUACAAGGGCACACUAUUGGUGGCGAUUGCAGCGGAUGCAAAUAAUCAGCUUCUUCCUAUUGCAUAUGCAUUGGUCGAGAGCGAGAACAAAGAUAGCUGGUUGUGGUUCCUGAGCUGCGUGAAGAUGGGUGUCGUGAAAGAGCGUAAAGGUGUUUGCAUCAUUUCUGAUCGCAACACUGGAUUAUUAAGCGCUCUUGAAAUAAUUAAGGCAUCGGAAGAAGAGUGGGGCUGGCCCGAUCUAGAGGGAAGGUGGUGCAUGAGGCAUUUGGCAGCAAACUUUUACUCCAAAUUCAAAAACAAGGAUUGGUUCAAGUUAUUCAAGAGGAUGUGCAUGCAAAAAACUGUAGCCAAAAUGAAUGCGAUAUGGGCAGGUAUCAAUGGUGAGAUCGACCGCGCGGCCUUGCCGCAGAGAGAAGACCGAAGGGGUCGUAGGACGGUCAUAAAUUUGAGCCAGUGGAUCACCGAGAAUUGCCCUCAUUUGGAGAAGUGGGCACAGGCUCACGACACCGGGGCUCGGUAUGGAAUAAUGACCAGCAACAUGUCAGAGGUGUACAAUGGUGUUCUUAAAGGGGUGCGAGCACUGCCUAUCACAGCCCUAAUUGAAGAAACUUGGAACCGGACCCUGUCAUACUUUGCAGACAGGGUCACCGUCGCCAAAGCACAAGUUGAAUUGAACAAGCCAUGGUCCGAGAAGAUGCAAAGACAUCUGGACGAGAAAGCAAAGAAGUCCCAAAGUCAUGGCUGCAGGAAAGUGGACGCACUUAGGAAUAAGUGGGAGGUCAAUGUGCGAGCCAAGUACGUUAAGGGUCACCACAGAGGAUCAAAAAAGCAAGCUGUCACCCUUGGCUCAACCUCCUGUGAGUGCACUUGUAACAAGCCCAAGCUUGAGGGCUACCCUUGCAGUCAUGUGCUCCGGGCGGCUGCUGUUCAAAAAAUCAGCGUCGAGCCAUACAUAUCGCCGUACUUCAACAUGUACAAUCUGUACAACACUUGGAACGGUGAGUUCUGGGCUUGGGGCAUUGAUAUGAACUAUAAAAUGUUGUGGCCAGAUGGGCCGAAAUGGAUUCCGAACACCGACUUGAUGAGAACCGCAAAGGGACGACGUCAGUCUAGGCGUCAUCGCAAUGACAUGGACCAUAGCCAGAUGGGAGAACCAAGGCGAUGCCGCGUUUGCAGGUGUCCUGGACAUUCACGCAAAGACUGCCCGUAUCGAGCCAACAACAACGCAUGA
rnacentral:rRNA from 1 species